AGUGGCGGACGGCUGAGUAAUGCAUUGGUACCUACCCCAAAGUGGGGGAUAGCUCAUCGAAAGAUGGGGUAAUCCCGCAUGUGCUCCUCGGAGUAAAGCUUUUUGCGCUUUGGGAAGGGCCUUUGUCCUAUCAGAUUGUUGGUGAGGUAAUGGCUCACCAAGUCUAUGACGGGUAGCUGGAUCGAGAGGUUGAUCAGCCAGACUGGGACUGAGACACGGCCCAGACUCCUACGGGAGGCAGCAGUGAGGAAUUUUCCGCAAUGGGCGAAAGCCUGACGGAGCGACGCCGCGUGAAGGAUGAAGCUUUUCGGAGUGUAAACUUCUUUUAUGUGGGAAGAUUAUGACUGUACCACAUGAAUAAGGACCGGCUAACUACGUGCCAGCAGCCGCGGUAAUACGUAGGGUCCAAGCGUUAUCCGGAAUUACUGGGCGUAAAGAGUUCGUAGGUGGUUUUUUAAGUUAGGUGUUAAAUAUAUGGGCUCAACUCAUAUGCCGCAUCUAAUACUGGGAAACUUGAGAGUGGAAGGGGCAGACGGAAUUCACGGUGGAGCGGUAAAAUGCGUAGAUAUCGUGAAGAACACCAAUGGCGAAGGCAGUCUGCUGGGCCACUUCUGACACUGAGGAACGAAAGCGUGGGGAGCGAUCGGGAUUAGAUACCCCGGUAGUCCACGCCGUAAACGAUGCAUACUGGCUUUUUGGGGUAUCGACCCCUUAAGAAGCGAAGCUAACGCGUUAAGUA
rnacentral:rRNA from 1 species